GACGAACGCUGGCGGCGUGCUUAACACAUGCAAGUCGAACGGAAAGGCCCUGCUUUUGUGGGGUGCUCGAGUGGCGAACGGGUGAGUAACACGUGAGUAACCUGCCCUUGACUUUGGGAUAACUUCAGGAAACUGUGGCUAAUACCGGAUAGGAGCUCCUGCUGCAUGGUGGGGGAUGGAAAGUUUCGGCGGUUGGGGAUGGACUCGCGGCUUAUCAGCUUGUUGGUGGGGUAGUGGCUUACCACGGCUUUGACGGGUAGCCGGCCUGAGAGGGUGACCGGCAAAAUUGGGACUGAGAUACGGCCCAGACUCCUACGGGAGGAAGCAGUGGGGAAUAUUGCAAAAUGGGCGGAAGCCUGAUGCAGCAACGCCGCGUGCGGGAUGACGGCCUUCGGGUUGUAAACCGCUUUCGCCUGUGACGAAGCGUGAGUGACGGUAAUGGGUAAAGAAGCACCGGCUAACUACGUG
rnacentral:rRNA from 1 species